rnacentral:rRNA from 1 species
AUACGGAGGAUCCGAGCGUUAUCCGGAUUUAUUGGGUUUAAAGGGAGCGUAGGCGGACGCUUAAGUCAGUUGUGAAAGUUUGCGGCUCAACCGUAAAAUUGCAGUUGAUACUGGGUGUCUUGAGUACAGUAGAGGCAGGCGGAAUUCGUGGGGUAGCGGGGAAAUGCUUAGAUAUCACGAAGAACUCCGAUUGCGAAGGCAGCCUGCUGGACUGUAACUGACGCUGAUGCUCGAAAGUGUGGGUAUCAAACAGGAUUAGAUACCCUGGUAGUCCACACAGUAAACGAUGAAUACUCGCUGUUUGCGAUAUACAGUAAGCGGCCAAGCGAAAGCGUUAAGUAUUCCACCUGGGGAGUACGCCGGCAACGGUGAAACUCAAAUGAAUUGACGGGG